AAAAAAAAAAGCCUAGGCCUCCUCUUCUUUAGGCCUAACAACUUUCAUAACAAAUAUAUAUGAAGGAGGAGUUUUGGGCUACCACUUAGAAAGAAAAAUGGUGAAGUUUUGUUACUUUGGAAACAUGGCUACUAGCAAGACACCUCCUUCGUCAGCUCCCUCGACCGGAGACUUGGGGGACUCCUACCAUAUGCUACUCCACCUUGAAUCUCGGAAGUCUCCGACCACUUAGUGACUUGGAUUUUUUCAAGUCUCCAACCGAGAAGUUUUCCUUACUCGGGAAAUUAAGGGAGCACUACCUCAACCUACAUGCUUCACUCACAAAGCGUCAACAUACAAGCUUUAACAAAAGGAAAAAUUCAAAGAACUUAGUGAAGAAGGUCUUGGUGUAUUUAACACAAUACAUUGAAAUGAAGCAAAGCUUGUUUAUUGAUAACUCCGAUAAGUUACAAAUAUGUACAUAUACAUGAAUCAAAAUAAACAAACAAGAGGAAGCCUUCACGAAGGUUGCUUAGGAGAAGUCUCA
rnacentral:lncRNA from 1 species